UGGGGUCCUCUGCCAUGAUGACGUUGCACUACUGUUCCAAACGCCCAAGCAGUGCAACAGUAUUGUCAUAGCAGAGGGCCU
rnacentral:pre_miRNA from 10 species